UCCGACGUGGUCUAGUGGCUAGGAUAUCUGGCUCUCACCCAGGUGGCCCGGGUUCGAUUCCCGGCGUCGGAA
rfam:Lingula anatina scaffold86, whole genome shotgun sequence.